rnacentral:rRNA from 1 species
GACGAACGCUGGCGGCGUGCUUAACACAUGCCAGUCGAACGGAAAGGCCCUGCUUUUGUGGGGUGCUCGAGUGGCGAACGGGUGAGUAACACGUGAGUAACCUGCCCUUGACUUUGGGAUAACUUCAGGAAACUGGGGCUAAUACCGGAUAGGAUCUCCUGCUGCAUGGUGGGGGUUGGAAAGUUUCGGCGGUUGGGGAUGGACUCGCGGCUUAUCAGCUUGUUGGUGGGGUAGUGGCUUACCAAGGCUUUGACGGGUAGCCGGCCUGAGAGGGUGACCGGCCACAUUGGGACUGAGAUACGGCCCAGACUCCUACGGGAGGCAGCAGUGGGGAAUAUUGCACAAUGGGCGGAAGCCUGAUGCAGCAACGCCGCGUGCGGGAUGACGGCCUUCGGGUUGUAAACCGCUUUCGCCUGUGACGAAGCGUGAGUGACGGUAAUGGGUAAAGAAGCACCGGCUAACUACGUG